rnacentral:rRNA from 1 species
CUUGAGCACGUAGGUGGGUUUGUAAGUCAGAUGUGAAAGCCUUCUGUUCAACGGAAGAAUUGCAUCUGAAACUACAAGUCUUGAGUGUAGGAGGGGAGAAUGGAACUUCUGGUGGAGCGGUGAAAUCCGUAGAUAUCAGAAGGAACGCCGGCGGCGAAAGCGAUUCUCUGGCCUAUUACUGACACUCAGUGUGCGAAAGCUAGGGGAGCAAACGGGAUUAGAUACCCCGGUAGUCCUAGCCGUAAACGAUGGGCACUAAGUAGAGGGGAUUACCGACGUUCUCUCUGCCGUAGCUAACGCAUUAAGUGCCCCGCCUGGGGAGUACGGCCGCAAGGCUAAAACUCAAAAGAAUUGACAGGGGCUCGCACAAGCGGUGGAGCAUGUGGCUUAAUUCGAUGCAACGCGAAGAACCUUACCGGGGCUUGACAUGGUAGAAGUAGGAACCCGAAAGGGUAACGAACGGUAUCCAGUCCGUGACUAUCACAGGUGUUGCAUGGCUGUCGUCAGCUCGUGUCGUGAGACGUUGGGUUAAGUCCCCUAACGAGCGAAACCCUUGUUUUUAGUUACCAGCGGGUUAUGCCGGGUACUCUAGAAAGACUGCCGUCGUCAAGACGGAGGAAGGUGGGGAUGACGUCAAGUCAUCAUGGCCCUUAUGCCCCGGGCUGCACACGUGCUACAAUGGUCGGUACAAACGGAAGCGAAGCCGAGAGGUGAAGCGAAUCCAAGC